rnacentral:rRNA from 1 species
CAGCCGCCGCGGGAAUACGUAGGUGGCAAGCGUUGUCCGGAAUUAUUGGGCGUAAAGGGCUCGCAGGCGGUUUCUUAAGUCUGAUGUGAAAGCCCCCGGCUCAACCGGGGAGGGUCAUUGGAAACUGGGAAACUUGAGUGCAGAAGAGGAGAGUGGAGUUCCACGUGUAGCGGUGAAAUGCGUAGAGAUGUGGAGGAACACCAGUGGCGAAGGCGACUCUCUGGUCUGUAACUGACGCUGAGGAGCGUAAGCGUGGGGAGCGAACAGGAUUAGAUACCCGAGUAGUCCCUGUCUCUUAUAC